rnacentral:rRNA from 1 species
UUGGAGGGCAAGUCUGGUGCCAGCAGCCGCGGUAAUUCCAGCUCCAAUAGCGUAUAUUAAAGUUGUUGCAGUUAAAAAGCUCGUAGUUGAAUUUUGGGUCUGGCCGGGCGGUCCGCCCUCCGGGUGAGCACUGUUCCGACGCCGGGCCUGUCCUUCUGGUGAGUCGGCAUGUCCUUUGUUGGGUGUGUCGGGGAACCAGGACCAUUACCUUGAAAAAAUUAGAGUGUUCAAAGCAGGCGUAUGCUCGGAUACAUUAGCAUGGAAUAAUGAAAUAGGACGCGUGGUGCUAUUUUGUUGGUUUCUAGAACCGCCGUAAUGAUUAAUAGGGAUAGUUGGGGGCAUUAGUAUUCAAUUGUCAGAGGUGAAAUUCUUGGAUUUAUUGAAGACUAACUUCUGCGAAAGCAUUUGCCAAGGAUGUUUUCAUUAAUCAAGAACGAAAGUUAGGGGAUCGAAGACGAUCAGAUACCGUCGUAGUCUUAACCAUAAACUAUGCCGACUAGGAAUCGGGCGAUGUUAUUCUCAUGACUCGCCCGGCGCCUUAUGGGAAACCAAAGUGUUUGGGUUC